UUUGGUCAUUUUGCUUGGUCUUGCAUUUGACUAAUUGUGAGCUUGACACAUGGGGGUUCACAUGGCCACAUAUUGUGUGUGUGUGUGAUGACUUGUGUAUUGCAUUGAGGGGGAUAGACAUAAAAACAAUUCAGCAGAAACCAAUUUCGUGCAUUUGGCUUCUUCUUUAUAGUCACUUUAUAUUGCUCCAUUUGAGGUCUUUUUGUUAGGAAUUUGAGAGGGGUGUGUGAAUGAAAGAGGUUCCUAAGGGAGAGAGAGCUUCCUUGUGGUUAAGAGUUGUGCACAGUUUAUUAAUUCUGGGCUGUCAAAAAGGGUGUUGAAAGAAGAGGUGUGGGUGUAUUUUAUAAAGGAAAGUGUUCUUCACCUUCUAGUUGUUGAUUUUGAUCCAUUUUUGGUGUGGUUUUGAAUUGUUUAGCAAGUGUUCAAGCUUCUCUUGAGGGAGGUGCCUUGUAUCCGUGAGUUAGGGAAUUGAAUCAAUGAUUUUAAAACCGGACAAGGAGUUGCCUUAUCUGUGCAGUUAAUGGGAAUCUAAAGGAGACGUUGUGUCACUAGAGCCCCAAAAUGAUCACAAGGAGUGGCCUUGUAUCAGGGAUAGAUUAGUAACUCUCUUCUCGUGGUACUGGGGAGCAGCCUUGGGCGGAUUACAUUAAUUUUUUGUGAUGGAAAUGGGAUUUUGGGAAGUGAGAGGUGUCAGUGACAUUAGUAUUGGCAUUGGCAUUGCAUGACACUUCAUUUUAUUAUCUCAUAUAAUAUGUUGCUUUCCCGAGCCUGUAUGACUCCUUUAUCUUUUAUCUGUUCUUUGUUUGGAUUCACGGAGGUAUUAAGGAGUGCGCUUUAGGCAAUUCCUACUGAGCUGUGGUUGUUCAUUCCUAUUUUAUUCAAAUCUUUUCAAGUCAUAGCAUAGAUGGUGUGGAGGGUGUUCUUCCUCAGCUGUAGACAGAGUCUGGGCUGGUGUUGUUGUGUUUUAUUCUGUAUAAUAGACUAUGUUUUGUAUUAUAUAUUUUUAAGAGUAUUUCUGGCAUGUAAUAAAUGUUAUUUCGGACUUUAAAACUUUAAUGUUGUAAUAUGUGCAUCUUAUCUAUUUA